rnacentral:lncRNA from 1 species
UUCCCGCUCGCCGCCGGCAGCUCGCUCCCACCGGCUCCCGCCGCUCUGCAGGCAGCGCACCUGGGGCCACCGGGCGGCCCGGCCCCGGCCCCGGCCCCGCGCCCCCGGGCCCGCGCGGGCGCUCACCUGGGCCCGCUCCGCCGCCGCCGCCGCCUCCUCCGGGGCGCGGCCCCACGCCGCAGCGGCCGCCGCCUGCCGCCUGCCCGCCGUGCGGCGGGAGCGCAGCGCGGGGCGGGCCGCGGCGGCGCUGCGGAGUGGGGGACCGGCCCCGAGCCGCGCCGCCUGCCCGCCCACAGCCCCGCCUGCGGGGAGCCGCCCCUGGCUCGGCUCGGCUCGGCCCGGCCCGGCCCGGGAGUGCUGCCGCCCCGAACGGAGCAGCCGCCGGCCCAGUGUGGGGGGGGGGGCGCCGCCGCCGCUUGCAGGCUCGUCCCGGGUGAGCCCCGGGCAGGCGCCGCAGGGCCCUGCGCGCUUCUCUUCGCCCCGCCUGGCUCGGCCGCCGCAGCCCCGCCGCCCCGCCCCAGGUCCCGGUCCCCACGGAGCCUCCCGGAGCCCCCCCCGCGGGGAGCUGCAGCCCCGUACCGAGGCGUCCCCGGUCACGGAGGAGAUCGGCCUCCCCGGGGCCAGGUUUGAGGCGAGCCGCGCGGCGCCCAGGCAGGGUGACCGUCCCGCAGCGUGUGGCGGUGCCUGGCACAGCCCAGCCGCUGCUGGCGGCCCGGAGCUCUGCGGGCGGCCUUCGUGCGGGGCUUGCCGCAGCAGCCCCCCUCAGUCGGUUGCCGCCCGAGGGAACUGUCUGUCCACCUGCACCAUGUUGGACAUGGAGACCUUUGUUGCUCAGCUGUGCACAAGGGAAAUCCCUGAGCCUCCUGCAGUGGCGAGGUGAUGGAGGAGCCUGCAAGCACUGCUCACCGCUUGGACCACCUGGGACCCAUGCUUUCGCAGCUGAAGUGAGAUCUCCUGGCCACAGUCCCAUUGUCGGGCAGAAUUGGCCUGAAACAACAACAUAAGAAAAUACUAAUGCCAGUACAAAUAAAUGAGGACUGACAUAAAAGGAAAGGCCUUGC